GAUGAACGCUGGCGGCGUGCCUAAUACAUGCAAGUCGAACGAAACUUCUUUAUCACCGAGUGCUUGCACUCACCGAUAAAGAGUUGAGUGGCGAACGGGUGAGUAACACGUGGGCAACCUGCCCAAAAGAGGGGGAUAACACUUGGAAACAGGUGCUAAUACCGCAUAACCAUAGUUACCGCAUGGUAACUAUGUAAAAGGUGGCUAUACUACCGCUUUUGGAUGGGCCCGCGGCGCAUUAGCUAGUUGGUAGGGUAAAGGCUUACCAAGGCAAUGAUGCGUAGCCGAAUUGAGAGGUUGAUCGGCCACAUUGAGACUGAGACACGGCCCAAACUCAUACGGGAGGCAGCAGUAGGGAAUCUUCCACAAUGGGCGAAAGCCUGAUGGAGCAACGCCGCGUGGGUGAAGAAGGUCUUCGGAUCGUAAAACCCUGUUGUUAGAGAAGAAAGUGCGUGAGAGUAACUGUUCACGUUUAGACGGUAUCUAACCAGAAAGCCACGGCUAACUACGUG
rnacentral:rRNA from 1 species